AAUGCACCAAUUUGUAAGUCGCUCUGGAUAAGAGCUUCUGCUAAAUGACGUAUA
rfam:Salmo salar isolate Sally breed double haploid chromosome ssa27, whole genome shotgun sequence.